AGAACGAACGCUGGCGGCAGGCCUAAUACAUGCAAGUCGAACGCACUCUUCGGAGUGAGUGGCAGACGGGUGAGUAACGCGUGGGAACCUUCCCAAUGGUACGGAAUAACUCCGGGAAACCGGUGCUAAUACCGCAUAAGCCCCUCGGGGGAAAGAUUUAUCGCCAUUGGAUGGGCCCGCGUCGGAUUAGCUAGUUGGUAAGGUAAUGGCUUACCAAGGCUACGAUCCGUAGCUGGUCUGAGAGGAUGAUCAGCCACACUGGGACUGAGACACGGCCCAGACUCCUACGGGAGGCAGCAGUAGGGAAUCUUGGACAAUGGGCGAAAGCCUGAUCCAGCCAUGCCGCGUGAGUGAAGAAGGCCUUAGGGUUGUAAAGCUCUUUUGGCGGGACGAUAAUGACGGUACCGCAGAAUAAGCCCGGCUAACUUCGUGCCAGCAGCCGC
rnacentral:rRNA from 1 species